CCUACGGGUGGCAGCAGUGGGGAAUAUUGCGCAAUGGGCGAAAGCCUGACGCAGCGACGCCGCGUGAGGGAUGAAGGUCCUCGGAUCGUAAACCUCUGUCAGCAGGGAAGAACGGUCACUGUGCUAAUCAGCAGUGAAUUGACGGUACCUGCAAAGGAAGCACCGGCUAACUCCGUGCCAGCAGCCGCGGACAUACGGUGGGUGCGUGCGUUAAUCGGAAUUAAUGGGCGUAAAGCGCUCGUAGGCGGUAUGUCAAGUCAAGGGUGAAAUCCCCGCGCUCAACGUGGGAACUGCCUUUGAAACUGGCAAACUGGAGUGUGUGAGAGGAUAGUGGAAUGCCAGGUGUAGGAGUGAAAUCCGUAGAUAUCUGGAGGAACACCAGUGGCGAAGGCGACUAUCUGGCACAUAACUGACGCUGAGGAGCGAAAGCGUGGGUAGCAAACAGGAUUAGAUACCCGUGUAGUC
rnacentral:rRNA from 1 species